rnacentral:rRNA from 1 species
UACGUAGGGGGCGAGCGUUAUCCGGAUUUAUUGGGCGUAAAGCGUGUGUAGGCGGUUUAUUAAGUCUAAAAUUAAAGCCUGAGGCUUAACCUCAGUUCGUUUUAGAAACUGGUAGACUUGAGUGUGGUAGAGGCAAAUGGAAUUUCUAGUGUAGCGGUUAAUGCGUAGAUAUUAGAAGGAACACCAGUGGCGAAGGCGGUUUGCUGGGCCGUUACUGACGCUGAGACACGAAAGCGUGGGGAGCAAAUAG